GUUCAUUUUCAUCACAACACAAUAAUGAUCACAGCUGGUCUGAUCAAACUCUCUGCUCUGCUCUGGAUUGUAGGUCUAACUGAUGGGAGUGAUGUCACCCAGACCUCUCUGCUGUGGAGGGUCGAGAAUCAAUCCGCCACAAUGAACUGCAGUCACACUAAGGACAUCUCACAUCGACAGAUGUACUGGUACAGACAGCUACCAGGGGAGAGAAUGAAACAGAUAGUUUACACGACUACAAUUCCUCCUCAUACGUAUGAAAGUGGCUUCAGUCAGGACAGAUUUCCUGCAACAAAGAGUGAUGCUCUGUCUGGAUCUUUGACGGUGGAGAAGCUGCUGCCUGGGGACAGCGGAGUGUAUUUCUGUGCUGUGAGUCAACACAGUGAUACAGGUGACUUAGACAGCUGCACAAAUACUCAUGUGAAGUGAAGAUAACUGUUUCUUUGAUGCACUACAGAGGGAGCUCUGCACCAACACUGAUGUCUGUUACUAUCGCUGCACUUAAAGAAUACUGUUUGCAUUGUGUUAUUAGUGGCUGUUUCAACAUGUGGUUGAGAAAUGUUUUUAACAGGACUGCUUAUUAAUCACAAUUAAUGUAACACCGCAUGAACUCCAAAUUCCAAUAUCGGGAUAAUCGUGAAUAUUGUCACGAUGAGAAGUGAAAAACAGAAAUACAGGAAUUAUCAUGUACGAAAGAACAAAAUCACAUUAUUUUGCUUUUAUUAAUGUUUUUUAUAUUUUGUAGGGGCACCUUAUGAUUUAUGAUCAUCUUUGACAAGAUUGUUUGAUUGUAUUUCACUAAAAAAGGAUGUUUACUAAAAGAGAUGGGUGUUUUAUAUGUGAUGAAAUAAAAUUAAAAAAAAUAGUUUAUUACCAAAAAUCAAUACAAUGAACAUUGUUAAUGUACAACAAAUGUUCAAAGAGGCAAACAUCCAAAAAUGAAAUGUGUUUUUCACCGGUAAUCUUUUUAAA